rnacentral:piRNA from 1 species
UAUUAGUAAAUAUGGCUGAAGAAAUGGGC